AUUGAACGCUGGCGGCAUGCCUUACACAUGCAAGUCGAGCGGCAGCGCGGGGGCAACCCUGGCGGCGAGCGGCGAACGGGUGAGUAAUACAUCGGAACGUGUCCUGUCGUGGGGGAUAACCAGUCGAAAGACUGGCUAAUACCGCAUGAGAUCGAAAGAUGAAAGCGGGGGACCGCAAGGCCUCGCGCGAUUGGAGCGGCCGAUGUCGGAUUAGCUAGUUGGCGGGGUAAGAGCCCACCAAGGCGACGAUCCGUAGCUGGUUUGAGAGAACGACCAGCCACACUGGGACUGAGACACGGCCCAGACUCCUACGGGAGGCAGCAGUGGGGAAUUUUGGACAAUGGGGGCAACCCUGAUCCAGCCAUGCCGCGUGUGUGAAGAAGGCCUUCGGGUUGUAAAGCACUUUCGGCCGGAACGAAAUCGCGCGGAUUAAUAACUCGCGUGGAUGACGGUACCGGAAGAAGAAGCACCGGCUAACUACGUGCCAGCCGCCGCGGUAAUAC
rnacentral:rRNA from 1 species